rnacentral:lncRNA from 10 species
AAUGGACAUAGUGUGUCUGUGCUCCCAAUGGACGGAGCAGCUUGUAUUGUAUCCUAGACUUGCUAGAGUAUAUUUUCUUACUCUAGGCUCACUUAAAUCCAGCAGUCUUAUGGGUUACUAAUAAAUAUUUUAGAGCAGCAUAUUCAAAUGUAAUGUAUAUUGUCUCCAAAAUCCAAAUACCAUCAAGUAUUUUAGUGCUCACAGUUUAAUGUGCAAGUAUUACACUUUGGAAGGGAUAGUUUGACAUAUUCCAGAUAUAUGGACCUCCAAAAUCUGCAUCUCUUAUGUUCUCAUUCAGCCCAUCCAGGCUAAAGAAUAAUGCAAAGUGACAUAAAACAUGGAGAUGUGACUCUUAACACACAUUUGUCCUGGGACUGUUUUUUUGGACUCUUGGCUACAUGAAUUAUUAUUUGAUCUCUCUAUAUGUGUUUUACUUCCUUCUCUCUUAGUUAACCUCAUUGGUCCUUUGUCGUAGAUAAAACUCUUGGUUUAAAGUAACAGAAACCAAAAAUUGGCUUAAGAAAAAAGGAGAAUGUAUCUAUAAAGUUAUGGUAGUGUCUCACAAAAAUGCAAAAAGAGGAAUCGGGAACCUCGUGAUGAAUUGAAAUGAGAGAUUAGAAAGUAGCCAAAAUGCUGGAAGAAAUUUCACUCUAUUGUUUGGCUUUAUUGGCUUUAGUCUCUUUCUCUCUCUCUCUCUCUCUCUCUCUCUCUCUCUCUCUCUCUCUCUCUCUCUCCCCCGCAUACACCCACUUCCCUAUCCCCAGUCCCUCUCCACUGAGAACUUGAUUUUUUCUUUUCAGUGCAAUUGGAAGAAAGAAAGCAGCCUCUAUACAGCUUCCCAGUUGAUAUCAACUUUCAUUUUCAGUUGCUCUAAAAGAAUAAUUGAUGAUGCCCAAAUAAACACCUCUUUCAAAUAUUCAGGGAGGAGAAUUGAUUUAGCUCAGUUUGGAUGAAGUUUCCAUGUUCAUCCAAUCAACUGUGUUGAUGUAAAGAGGGGAGAGUCACAUAUCACAAAGAAGAAUGCUGAGACCAGCCCUGUGAUAAGAAAGAACAUUUUCAGAGAAAGUAGGUUGGGGUGACAUCAAACCAAAUUACCUAUGAGAAUCUUUUUCCUCAGUGAAGAAGUUUCUUUUUUAUUCUAGACUUUCUUUUUUUUCCUUUGUUUUUCUUAUUUCCUUUAGAUAUUAAGCAGACAUCUAUGCCCAGCUUAUUUUAAGUUUAUUACGUUCUGAAUUGACCCUUUGGAUAUUUACAGAAGGGAUUUAUGUUGGAAGAGCAAAUGAUUACUAGGGUCAACAUGUGGAAAGGAGUGCCCACUCACCAAGGUUGGGCUACUGAUACUGGACCACCAGUUUAGAAAAUGAAAUCCAGCCAGUUGUUGUUGUUGUU